rnacentral:rRNA from 1 species
AACGUCCAUACCACGCUGAGUCCACCGGUUCUCGUCCGAUCACCGAAGUUAAGCAGCUGCGGGCGCGGUCAGUACUUGGAUGGGUGACCGCCUGGGAACACCGCGUGAUGUUA